GAUUUUUUGUUGUUGGGUUGUUUGUUUUACUCUUCUUUAAUUUUUCAAAGUAUAGUUGAUCUACAGUGUUCUGUCAGUUCCCGCUCUACAGCAAAGUGUUCCAGUCAUACAUUUAUAUACAUUUUUUUCCUCAUAUUAUCUUCCAUCGUGUUCUAUAUAGCACACUGGUGUCCUAGGUCCGACUGAAAAAUGUUUAUCUAUUAUGAAUACCAGACAGAAGAAAAAGAUUGUAAUUCACUGCCCUCGGCCAUUUUAACGUCUUUAUUUGAAUAAAGAUUUUCCCUUCAAAUGAGAUGCACUUAUUUUUAGCUGAACUCUAAUAACAUAGUACAUUUGAUUUGACAUCAGUUUCUUGGCUGCCGUUUUCUCUAAUAAAUUUAUGUUUGUUUCUAAAAGUAUAAAAGCAGCAGAGAUUGAUACCAGGGCCUGUGGUUUUAAAUAAACGAAAUGUGCUUCCUUUCUCUUGCUUCCGAUCCUAAAAGCCAACUAAAUAGUAGGAUUGUCAAGACUUAAUCUGUGGAGGGAUUGGGGUGCGGCGGGGUGGGGUGGGGCAGUGAGGGGGAAGCUUAAGAGCCUGCUUGUUGGAUGUUUUCAACUUUACAAAGACCCAAAGUAACUGCUAACAGAGGAAAGCGGCAUACGGACGUUUGCUCAAGCAGUCCUCAGAGUUCCCCCACACAGCUCUCUCCAGCAGCAUGUGCCGCGGCCCCCGGUGCGCUGGAUGCGGGUUAGGAAGCAGAGGCCCCAGGGAUGAAGGGAGGUUGCGCCGGGACCUGGGCUGAAUGUUCUCCUGACCGCUGCCCGAUCUUUCUCAGGAUCUGCUCCCUGAUGGUCGAAACCCUUCUCUGCCGGCAGAUCCAUCGUAACUUCAUCCGGCAAAGGGCACAGUGCGCCACAACUUAGUGACCUGAAAACAGCUCAUAGUCCAGAACCUCUUAGACUAAUCUAGCCUCUGGAUUUAGCAAAACUCAUCUUCAUUUGCUCACCACGGGAUGGGCCAUUUCUCAUGAAGAGCCCUGGAGGCCAUGUAAAGCAUUGAGGUUCUGAUUUGUCGGUAGCUUCCAUUUUCUGGCUGUUUAGAAAAUCGUAGUUAAAACUAUCAUUUUCUUCCCCCGAGGCGAAAAGUGAAAAUAAAGUAAACUUUGUAGAAUACGCGUGAUCAUCUUGAUUACUGUGUCUGUGAACUAUUGUAUUAAAGGCUCAGAUCAAGGAGUUCCUGCUGUGUUUCAGCAGGUUAUGGACCCGACUAGUAUCCAUGAGGAUGUGGGUUCCAGCCCUGGCCUCCCUCAGUGGGUUGGGGACCCAGCACAGCCAUGAGCUGUGGUGUAGGUUGCAGACCCGGCUUGGAUCUGGCAUUGCUCUCGGUGUGGCAUAGACUGGCAGCUACAGCUCCAAUUUGACGCCUAGCUUGGGAGUGCCAUGGGUGUAGCCCUAACAAUCAAGGAAAAAAAAAAAAAAGGACUCAGAUCAAUAUUAAUAUUUAUUGUUCAAGGUUGCAUAUCUGAAAAUUGUGGAAAUGAGAAAUUUUUUCUCUGUUUACUCAAUACAGUGCUGGGCAAGGGAUAUCUGUGUACAAAUUGAACCUAAUUGGCUAAUCCAAGUUUAGGCUCCAGUUCCUGAAACAGUAUUAUGCUAAUUUCUUGCAUUCGUUCCUCUAACUUUCCCUCCCAAAUUCACUUACUAUGUCAGCAACCAUAGAAACAAAACCUUUCUAGUUUGGCAAAUGAUUCUUGUGUUGAUUUUAAGUUAGAGCUUUAUCUUCUCCCCUUGUAGCUGGAGUGAGUUAUUCCCAUAGUCAUUUUUCCUAGAAUGUUGAUAGAGGUAGCUAUGUUGCUUAAAGCUCUCAAAAUAUAAGGGCAUUGCAGUAACACAAAUUAGUAGUAGUAGCAAAAAAAAAAAAAAAAAAAA
rnacentral:lncRNA from 1 species